GUUUCAGGGUGACCGGAUUUAUAAGCUUUGGGCAUAUAAACUUGCCGCCUUUAGAGCCUUGCUCCAAAGAAUGAUAACACACUGCACUACAUACACAAAUGCCUAUGAAGAAUUACAUUGGAUUAUAAGACACGCUGUAUGCCAUGGUUAUCAAGAGGGUUUGAUUUUGAAUAUGUGGGCAAAGAUCUCACAAAAGUAUAACCGAAACUUAAGUGGAGAUACGGAGCAAUCAGAGGCAAAUGAUCAUCGUGAGAAGAAGUUUUUUAAUGUCAGUAUAAAUCCGGUCACCUUGAAGUGCAGAAGGAGGGUGGAGAGGGCCGCUG
rnacentral:lncRNA from 1 species